rnacentral:rRNA from 1 species
UUUUAUUUGAGAGUUUGAUCCUGGCUCAGGAUGAACGCUGGCGGCGUGCCUAACACAUGCAAGUUGAGCGAUUUACUUCGGUAAAGAGCGGCGGACGGGUGAGUAACGCGUGGGUAACCUACCCUGUACACACGGAUAACAUACCGAAAGGUAUGCUAAUACGGGAUAAUAUAUUUGAGAGGCAUCUCUUAAAUAUCAAAGGUGAGCCAGUACAGGAUGGACCCGCGUCUGAUUAGCUAGUUGGUAAGGUAACGGCUUACCAAGGCGACGAUCAGUAGCCGACCUGAGAGGGUGAUCGGCCACAUUGGAACUGAGACACGGUCCAAACUCCUACGGGAGGCAGCAGUGGGGAAUAUUGCACAAUGGGCGAAAGCCUGAUGCAGCAACGCCGCGUGAGUGAUGAAGGCCUUCGGGUCGUAAAACUCUGUCCUCAAGGAAGAUAAUGACGGUACUUGAGGAGGAAGCCCCGGCUAACUACGUGCCAGCAGCCGCGGUAAUACGUAGGGGGCUAGCGUUAUCCGGAUUUACUGGGCGUAAAGGGUGCGUAGGCGGUCUUUCAAGUCAGGAGUGAAAGGCUACGGCUCAACCGUAGUAAGCUCUUGAAACUGGGAGACUUGAGUGCAGGAGAGGAGAGUGGAAUUCCUAGUGUAGCGGUGAAAUGCGUAGAUAUUAGGAGGAACACCAGU